rnacentral:tRNA from 1 species
GGGGUUGUAGCUCAGCUGGUUAGAGCGCCGGCCUGUCACGCCGGAGGUCGCGGGUUCGAGCCCCGUCAAUCCCGCCA